ACUAUAAAAGGGUUGAAUUUAAUUGCCGUUUUAUAUUUUCUAAGAGAGUGAAAAAUUACACUAUAUAUAUAUAAUAUUGCAGUCUGGGACAAUGAAAGCAGUCAUUUUUGCCACUCUAAUUGUUCUUAAACUGAUCAUAAGCAGCGCUAAUGUUUCAGCUGAACUUGAAUCGGAAGAUAUAGUGGCUCUAGAGAAGGUGUUCAUGCAAGCUGCUCAUGUCAAUGAAGAUGCUGAAGAAAACAGCCAUUAUAAUAAUGGCAUGACGGUCCUCUUCGCCUAUUAUGGUUUAACCUGUACCAGCCAUCUCAGCUCCAACGUUCGACACAUUACCACCAACUGGGCCAAGGGGCUGUGUGAUGGGCGGAACAGCUGCUCUGGAACUGUACACACUUCCACUCUCACGGAUCCUUAUGUUGGCUGUAAAAAGGAUUUCCUUGUUAUUGCAGAAUGCCCCAAUGGGCAUGUCGUAGCUGACCACUUGUCAGGGGAGGCUCAGUGGAAAAGAUUUUCUCUGAGAUGCUAUAUAUAGUUUAACUGAGUAGCUGCAUUAUGGCUAAUGCCCUGGAACUGUAUAUAUAACUGAUAGAUUUACCAACUGCCUAAUAUAUACAUGUACUAUAAUUAGCUAUAGUUUGCAUCUGUAAUGAUAAGAUGUGUGUCAGCAAUAACUAACACUAUAUAGACACUACGUGCCAUUGUAAAAAAACAUGAAAUGUUGCUAAGAUUG